rnacentral:rRNA from 1 species
GUAACGGCGAGUGAAGCGGCAACAGCUCAAAUUUGAAAUCUGGCUCUCGGGCCCGAGUUGUAAUUUGUAGAGGAUGCUUUUGAUGCGGUGCCUUCCGAGUUCCCUGGAACGGGACGCCAUAGAGGGUGAGAGCCCCGUCUGGUUGGAUGCCAAAUCUCUGUAAAGCUCCUUCAACGAGUCGAGUUGUUUGGGA